UCUCAGUUCGGAUCGGAGUCUGCAGCCCGACUCCGUGAAGCUGGAUUCGCUAGUAAUCGCGCAUCAGCCAUGGCGCGGUGAAUACGUUCCCGGGCCUUGUACACACCGCCCGUCAAGCCAUGGGAGCCGGGGGUGCUUGAAGUGCGUCGCCGCAAGGCGCGCCCUAGAGCAAAACCGGUGACUGGGGCUAAGUCGUAACAAGGUACC
rnacentral:rRNA from 1 species